rnacentral:rRNA from 1 species
AUUGGAUGAGCCCGCGGCCUAUCAGCUUGUUGGUGAGGUAACGGCUCACCAAGGCUACGACGGGUAGCUGGUCUGAGAGGACGAUCAGCCACACUGGGACUGAGACACGGCCCAGACUCCUACGGGAGGCAGCAGUGGGGAAUCUUGCGCAAUGGGCGAAAGCCUGACGCAGCAACGCCGCGUGGAGGAAGAAGGCCUUAGGGUUGUAAACUCCUGUCAGGGGAGAAGAAGGCACCUGGGUUAAUAGCCUAAGGGUUGACGGUACCCCCAAAGGAAGCCACGGCUAACUACGUGCCAGCAGCCGCGGCCGAU